GACUGGACAUAUCAGCUACAAUUUUGGAAGCAAGAGGCAGAACAUUACACAGGUUCCAUACAGAUCUGGCCCAGAAGCAGAACUUCAGCUCCAGAAAAGAGAUAAGAUUUUGAAAGGGAAAUUAUUGCAAAUCAAGUCAAUAACUCCUCCCAGACAGACAAUAUUUUCAUAGAGCUGCAAUUCCACAAUAUUUGGUUCGAGAAACAAAACAGCAUCACUACUACAGGGACAGAUUCAUAUUUCCAAGCCAAAAUGUGCUCCAUAUGUGAUGGCAUGUGCAGCUGGUGCAGAGCUCCAGAGCUACAGCUUGCUGACCCUAGCUAGUUAGCUGCCCCAUAGCCAAAUAACCCACCCACCAGAAAGGCAUCUGGUCAGAAGUGGUCUCCCAGGGAAGUCUUCACUUGCUGUUGAGUGGACUUCAUCUUUGCUGUCCAGACAGAAUGAUGUGGACAGGCAUCUUCCACAGAAAGAAUUGCCAAGCAGAUGUCCUUCCUCAAACCACCUUUUACAAACAGCCUUGCAGAGUAAGGUUUCAACAUUUGGACAGAAGUAGUUCCCUGUAUGUCUGCAAAAAGGCAACUCAGCUCUCGCCGCUUUCACAAAGCUAAAGCAUGGGACAGCAUCAAGUGGGACUGGGCACUCAACCCCUUGUUCUGAUCUUUCCAAGAUCCUUUUCUCUGAGAAAAUGUUAGCAAACCACAGCCCAGCGAUUAUGGCAGGAGCAGUAAGAAGUGAACAAAAGAGCUUCCCUGAAAAAAUACAGGUAACAUGUUAGAUCCUUCAAAAGACUAAGAGCUCCUGCACAUACACUGCAACAUGCAUUCAGAAAAGAUGUAUUUAAGUACUGUAUAAGUAUUGCCAUAAGUUUUAUGUCCUAUGUCAUGAGUAUUUGCUCAGUCCAUGAGGUCUUUUAUAUCUACAGUAGUCUUUCCAUUGAUUGUACAGGGAGCCAAAAUUUAUCAGUACUGAAAAGUGGGCCAAAUCACUCACACAACUGAACAGAGCUGGACUGAAUGGGACAAAAGUCAUUUCCAACCACAAAUAUACCUCCUCCAC
rnacentral:lncRNA from 1 species